GAUGAACGCUGGCGGCGUGCCUAAUACAUGCAAGUCGAGCGAACAGACGAGGAGCUUGCUCCUCUGACGUUAGCGGCGGACGGGUGAGUAACACGUGGAUAACCUACCUAUAAGACUGGGAUAACUUCGGGAAACCGGAGCUAAUACCGGAUAAUAUAUUGAACCGCAUGGUUCAAUAGUGAAAGACGGUUUUGCUGUCACUUAUAGAUGGAUCCGCGCCGCAUUAGCUAGUUGGUAAGGUAACGGCUUACCAAGGCAACGAUGCGUAGCCGACCUGAGAGGGUGGUCGGCCACACUGGAACUGAGACAGCGUCCAGACUCCUACGGGAGGCAGCAGUAGGGAAUCUUCCGCAAUGGGCGAGAGCUUGACGGAGCAACGCCGCGUGAGUGAUGAAGGUCUUCGGAUCGUAAAACUCUGUUAUUAGGGAAGAACAAAUGUGUAAGUAACUAUGCACGUCUUGACGGUACCUAAUCAGAAAGCCACGGCUAACUACGUG
rnacentral:rRNA from 1 species